rnacentral:rRNA from 1 species
GUGAACGCUGGCGGUAGGCCUAACACAUGCCAGUCGAACGGCAGCACAGUAAGAGCUUGCUCUUACGGGUGGCGAGUGGCGGACGGGUGAGGAAUACAUCGGAAUCUACUUUUUCGUGGGGGAUAACGUAGGGAAACUUACGCUAAUACCGCAUACGACCUACGGGUGAAAGCAGGGGAUCUUCGGACCUUGCGCGAUUGAAUGAGCCGAUGUCGGAUUAGCUAGUUGGCGGGGUAAAGGCCCACCAAGGCGACGAUCCGUGGCUGGUCUGAGAGGAUGAUCAGCCACACUGGAACUGAGACACGGUCCAGACUCCUACGGGAGGCAGCAGUGGGGAAUAUUGGACAAUGGGCGCAAGCCUGAUCCAGCCAUACCGCGUGGGUGAAGAAGGCCUUCGGGUUGUAAAGCCCUUUUGUUGGGAAAGAAAAGCAGCAGGUUAAUACCCCGCUGUUCUGACGGUACCCAAAGAAUAAGCACCGGCUAACUUCGUG